CGUUUGACCUCGGAUCAGGUAGGGAUACCCGCUGAACUUAAGCAUAUCAAUAAGCGGAGGAAAAGAAACCAACAGGGAUUGCCCUAGUAACGGCGAGUGAAGCGGCAACAGCUCAAAUUUGAAAUCUGGCUCUUUCAGAGUCCGAGUUGUAAUUUGCAGAGGGCGCUUUGGCUUUGGCAGCGGUCCAAGUUCCUUGGAACAGGACGUCACAGAGGGUGAGAAUCCCGUACGUGGUCGCUAGCUAUUGCCGUGUAAAGCCCCUUCGACGAGUCGAGUUGUUUGGGAAUGCAGCUCUAAAUGGGAGGUAAAUUUCUUCUAAAGCUAAAUAUUGGCCAGAGACCGAUAGCGCACAAGUAGAGUGAUCGAAAGAUGAAAAGCACUUUGGAAAGAGAGUCAAACAGCACGUGAAAUUGUUGAAAGGGAAGCGCUUGCAGCCAGACUUGCUUGCAGUUGCUCAUCCGGGCUUUUGCCCGGUGCACUCUUCUGCAGGCAGGCCAGCAUCAGUUUGGGCGGUGGGAU
rnacentral:rRNA from 1 species